AAAGUCGUAACAAGGUUUCCGUAGGUGAACCUGCGGAAGGAUCAUUAUCUAUCCCAUCGGUGUGGCAGCGGCCCCCGGGGGGCAUCCCCCCCCCGGGCGGUAGAGGUAAAACUCUCACGCUCCACAUACCCGAAUCCUUUUUUUACGAGCACCUUUCGUUCUCCCUCGGUGGGGCAACCUGCCGUUGGAACGCUAAAACUCUUUUUGCAUCUAGCAUUACCUGUUCUGAUAUAAACAAUCGUUACAACUUUCAACAAUGGAUCUCUUGGCUCUG
rnacentral:misc_RNA from 1 species